CCCGGAGCGGCCUGGGAGGAUAAGAUCAAGCAUGCCAGCCAGCCGUAUGUUGCUCCUGGGCGCCCUAACCUCUCACUUUCUUGCUGGCCACACACUUUUGAUUGUCACUCGAUAUUAUUUGCCAGGGGGACGAAAUCGUCGGGAAAAUAAAAAAUACCACUUGUUUCAAACUGGGACGUUUUAAAUACAGGCGACCCUUUGCCAGCAAUGAGCCAGUUGAGGAUGUCCGGAAGUGGCUUUUGGCAGUAAGGAAACCAGUGCAACAGAGAGACGCUGCCAACUGGCUGGUGAACCCAGCAUAGCUCCAGCCAGUGAGUCCACUUGGCAUACCAUUUUGGAGCCGUCUGUUCUCUAAACCCCAGCAUACAGCACACCAGCAACAUUCAUUGGGCUGAGAGGGAGUAGUUCUGCGCAAG
rnacentral:sRNA from 2 species